GAGUACAGAGAGAUUUUUAAAACCACAGACUCCCCGAUGAUGGAGUUGAGGGGCUUUGAAUAAAGGCUGCUGGGUGUGUCCAUGCUGCUUUUUGCAGGAGAAUCUCAAAACCCUCUGCAAACUUUAAUUGUCUUCCUUAACAUGCCCACUGCAGCUGGAUCCUAGUGCCUCCUCCAACAGGACCCGGCUGUAUCUGUCUGACAACACAUCUACAGUGACUCUCUUAAUUAAGUCUCCCCGCACUGCUGUGAGACUGUUGCAGUGAUUUGGCUUACACUGCGGGUCUGCAAAGAGUUGAACCAGCAACACUGCAGGAGCUGUAAGUUGCGGCAGCGACGUAGGAGUGAGCCAAGGAACCAGGACUCUUUUCAGCCUAUGGGCCAUGAAUCCUUGGAAUUCUGUGCACUACUUUGAAGAGGUCUGCAAAAGAUCACAAAGACAAGGAAGCUUAUUGUCAGUAGAUUUAAAUUGGCUAUACAGGGGUCCAUGAUUCCAAGGGAAAACUUCAGGAGUCGAUUACAAAGUUCUAAGUCAGCUCGAUCCGUUGAAAUCCACCUAUCUUUGUACUCCUCGGACUAACAAGCAUCCUUCCGGCAGGACCUGUGCAGCCGAACAAACCCUUUGUGAUUGAAUAUUGUGGAUUCAAGAAGCCGCUCUGUCCCCUGCACUAGGACUGAGCCGUGCAGAAACCUCUGAUCUGGCACCUAUCAGGUGCUGUUACCAAUGGAUUGGGCUGAAAACAAAAACUUUGUUUUAGAGAAGCUCGUGUAGCUGGGACUAUACAACCAAUUCGGUUUUGUAGCAAGGUCAGUACUUUGUCCCCAAGGUGAAUGAGCAGGUACACAGUGUUCUCCCUACAGACUGUGAGGUGUCUGAAGUAUCUCAGAUGAACUUUAUUGGGAACUAAAGGCAAGCAGCUUCAGGGAGAAUCAUGCAACAGAUUCUACCUAUGAUAUCUCCAGAGGUUUAAGCCCAGCGGUCAGACAUAAAACCUGAUGUGCUUUAAAGGCUUUGGAUUAAGUAAUGGUAGUACUACUUGGAUGGAGGUUCAUAAUGCUUGGAUGAAAAAAGGCUUGAGCUAGGAAAAAAAAAAUCACUAAAGAUUUAAAAAUAGAGUAAUUUUAAAAUGUUAAAAGUGUUCUGUUUAGGGUUUCAAAAAUUUUUUCCUUGUGGGUUUUGGUAAGCAGAGUUGUUCUGUAAGUUCUUUCCUGAUUGUGGAGAGAAUUUGUCUUUUUUAGAGUGCCUGAAAAAAUGCAGGAGAGGUGCUGAGGAAUCUUCAUGUAUUAUGUAUUGGUUAUUAGCAUGGAGGAUCCUUGUGCUUGCAGGAGCAAAUAGACUCUUUGUGACGAGAACAAGAUGCCAUAACUGGAUAUAGCAUUUUAGCCAUAUGCCCACAAGCUAACUUCUCUGUGUCUCUUACUAGAAGAUGAAAUGGGCUUCAUAUCUGGAGACGUGGGUCCAGGGAAAGCCAAAAAGGAGUGAGUGCUGAAGUCCAGCAUAUACCACAAAAUACCCAAGCCAUUCUUCUCUCCUCUUUAUAUGGAGGAGUCCCUGCUUAGUCCCUGAAUAGCCCCCUUCAAAUCCACUUUUGGAGCCAGGGUUUUGAGCCUCUUGUAGGUUCAAACUUAAGACAGCUUCACUUGUAAUCCAAGUUUAUAUGAGCUAUCCAGGUUUAUCCUAGCUAAAUCCUUGAUGUUGCUCAUACAUUUGAUCAAAGGGAAAGGUUCAUGUUUACCUGAGAACUAAAUUGGACAUUUUAACACAUAUUGUGUAGAAAAGCAUGCCCAAGUGAUAAAGUAACAAUUGAUUCAUGGUUAUCCAGCCCAGUCUAGAAGUGCCACCUUGGGAUGACAUGGAUCGAAGAUACAGUUACUUUGCUUUUCCAUGUGAAGAACGCUGCUUCUUCCCAGCUGAGCUAUCAUGUAACGUAGAUGACUCUCUGGAGGAAGACUUUGCUGCACAUUUGCAGUAUGUUUUAGCUACUAUCAACAUUUAUAUUCCAUUGGCAUUUGAGGGUAAGCACUAAUUAGCAUAAUCAUCAAUGCUUUAAAAUUAAAAAUUCCUCCAAGAGACACAGGAGGGAUUGAAACUGUUUCCUUCCCCCAGAGGCAAAUGCUUUCCCAAGCUAUCUGCUGCACCAAAAGGUUUUAUUCUAGAAACAUUCCCAAGCUAUGCCCAAGAGUAAAUUAAACUACAGCAAACUUGUAAACUCGUGUGUGUGUGUGUGUGUGUGUGUAGCAAGCAGGCCCUGAUUUGACAAAUUACUACGUGACAAAAUAUUGUCACUAUUUUCCACUCCUAUUUUGUUUUGACUGCUGCUCUGUGCUGCUGUGUCACCUUUACUGUGUGGGCUGGAACAAUCGAGUCUGAAGUUUUUAUACUUCACAGGAAAGAUUCUGGUGUCUUCACAAGAUAGAAAGCAAAGGGUUGAAGGACACUGCCCCCUUCUAGAGCUUGCCUCAAGCUCCCCAAGUCAGGAGCUGGCCUCAAAAAAUCUCAAGAGUCAUUCUUUUCUACAGUAUUUUAGAGUGGAUUUUUACUCUGGUUUCAAAAUUAUUCACUGACAACAAGAACCUCAGACUGGAUUUCUGCCUUAAAGAGACUCCUCUUUAUGGAGAAUAAGGUGCCAGGAAAACCUUGGGGGAACUUCAAGUUUGAAAGGUAAUGUCCAUACCUUGGAAAUGUCUCCUAAGAGUCGAUCUUCAAAUUUCUACAUUCCUGCCUUUGGGAGGCGACAGUGGGCCUCAGCUCCCAUUGAUAGCAGGUGUGGUCACGGAUGGGUGUCCUGCCUGCGGGUUCCUUGUGUCUCAAAGAAUGCUUCUCACAUCCUCAGCAGGUCCAUGAAACCUCAGGGAGCAGGAAUAGUUAAAUGUUGUAAUUGUUCUUGAACUGGCCAGAGAGAAGAAUUAGUGUUUUUCCAAAGGAAAUAUUUCCUUGAGAGGGAAACACUAACAAAUGCAGGUGUUUCUUAAAAGAAAACAAUUGUGUUUAUAAACUCACAAUUCUUGUUAUUUCUGCGUAAGACAAAUGCCACCACACCCUACAUUGAGUAAACAUGGGGACUCUUCGUGAAAAUUUCAGAAUCUGCAGGGCAUUGAACGUAUGUAUUGUCUUUUUGGUAUCCUCUUUUUUCAGAGAGAUGGACUUAAAUUUCAUUGGCAGAAAUUCUGUCUUUUAUCUUUAUCUCCUGUUUUGAUGUGGUAGCCAUGGAGAAAAGCCCAAGAUUAGUAACAGUAGGUUGUUGCAGAAUAAGAAUAACUCUCUACUUGGAUUUAGACUGUAGUAAUAUCGGGGGUUUGUUUAACUGGAAAUACUCAGAUUGCAUAGAAUAAAUACUAGAUGCUGUUAGGACAUUAAUCACCCAUCCCAUUCACUUCUAUCCACCUUGAACUAAAUGUUGGUAAUCUUUAACUUCUGUCUGUUCUGAGGGAUGUUUAGGUGGCUCUCACAGGGUACGGGGUGGCUCUCUGUGCCUACUACUUUUGAAACGAUGGUUAGUUCUCCUGAAGGCCAAUGUGUUUAUACUUUUGCCCUGCUACAGACAUCAGGGCACCCAGACCCUUGGAACUUGACUCAGUUUGGCUAGUAAUGAAUGAAAUGGGCUGUAUUCUGAAGCUGAGAUGCCUCGGGCUCCACGAGAAAGCCAAAUUAAAAAAACACUGCCUUAACAGCAGUGUCUAGCAACGAGUUUCCAGAUUCCCCCUGGAAGCCCACAGUGAGAAACUUUAGAGAAAGGAAGGGGGUGCUGAAUCUUUUCUCAGAGAACGUAGGAAGCGACUGAAUGCCUUUGGCAGUGACAUGGGCUAAGAAAGCAGGAGAAUGGUAGGAACAAAGACACCACACCUUGCUCUUGUUUGCUAUCGGCAAAGCAGGCUAUGGGUGGGAUUAGUGAGUGUAUGACCAUAAAGUUUUAGUUUCCCUAAUGCAGCUGAUAGCCAUGCUGUCUGGUAUAUUACUCGAUUUGCCUCUCCUCAGCAUCUCAGCACAUAGCCUCAUGCAGGUUUUGCAACUUUUCUUUAGAAAAUGAUUUUGCAUUUUACAGCAACAUGCAAACCAGAGCUCUUGCAGCAUAUUUAGGAAGAAAGGAAUUUACACUGCUUUUGCUGGCAUGACAUUCUCGUAUGACAGAGACACAUAGUGACACAUAGAGAUAAUAUCACGUAUUGUUAAGUUCUACCAGUCAAUGUGCUUCUACAACAUAUAUCUUGUUUCCAAACGAUUGCAGCUAAUGUCCUGUUUUGAUUCAUGGUGAUGGAAACUAGGUGUGGAUGACUAGCUAAUUUUACGGCUACAGAGAAAAGGCAGAUUGUCAGAGACCAGGGUCUGCUUGAAGAUCGGCUUCUGAAUUAAAACUAAUCGGUAGCUUCCUUUGAUGGCCCUUUUUGUAUCUGGAUGAGAAAGAUCCAAGAGAACUCAUUUUUACUACUUAUUUCCUUCCUUAGUUUGAGCAGAUGAUGUCAGAACGCCAUCAUGACUUACGUACAUUUUUUUUGAGAAGAUAGAGUUGUUUGAUUAGUAAAUGUAAAAGAUCUAUAUUUUCUGCUGGUUUUUCAUUGCUAAAGAUGUGGUAGAUCUUAAGAUCAAGGUUAUUAAAAACAGUUUAUGACAUUUCUUAGGUGAGACACUUUUGAAUAUGUCUACUGUAGGUUUGGUGUUAAAAUCAGAGUGAUA